UGGACCUACGGGAGGCAGCAGUGGGGAAUAUUGCUCAAUUUGCUAAAUCCUGACGCAGCGACGCCGCGUGAGGGAUGAAGGUCUUCGGAUCGUAAACCUCUGUCAGCAGGGAAGAACGGUCACUGUGCUAAUCAGCAGUGAAUUGACGGUACCUGCAAAGGAAGCACCGGCUAACUCCGUGCCAGCAGCCGCGGUAAUACGGAGGGUGCGAGCGUUAAUCGGAAUUACUGGGCGUAAAGCGCUCGUAGGCGGUAUGUCAAGUCAAGGGUGAAAUCCCCGCGCUCAACGUGGGAACUGCCUUUGAA
rnacentral:rRNA from 1 species